rnacentral:rRNA from 1 species
UACAGAGGUCCCGAGCGUUGUUCGGAUUCAUUGGGCGUAAAGGGUGCGUAGGCGGUCUGCUAAGUUUGAUGUGAAAUCCCGGGGCUCAACCCUGGAAUGGCAUUGAAUACUGGCGGACUAGAGUACCGGAGAGGAAACUGGAAUUUACGGUGUAGCAGUGAAAUGCGUAGAGAUCGUAAGGAAGACCAGUGGCGAAGGCGGGUCUCUGGACAGUUCCUGACGCUGAGGCACGAAGGCCAGGGGAGCAAACGGG